AGCUUUGCGCAGUGGCAGUAUCGUAGCCAAUGAGGUUUAUCCGAGGCGCGAUUAUUGCUAAUUGAAAACUUUUCCCAAUGUAUCUUUCCUUCUGGCUUCAGCAAAUACUGAUGGUUCGUCCUUGGA
rnacentral:snRNA from 1 species